UUGAACUUUUUUUUUUUUUGCUUCUUUCUUGCUCAGCUGCAAGUAGUUGUGGGUGGGUCAGCUCAUCCUUCUGCCUCAACCUAGUUCCAGCCCACCCUGAACUAAGCAGAUCUGGCUGGCUUCCCUAACAUAAGGAGGGCCUUUGAGUCACCCUUGCCUCCUCUACAGGGUGUAAAGUAAAAAUCAGCAAAAUGGCCAAAAAGGGCCAUGAUAAGCACCUGGCUUACUUACUACUGCAGCCUGUGGCUCCUUUCAUUCCAGUGACCCAUUCCAUCCCUGGAAAGAAUUUGUUAGUCCUGCCACCUUUAGGUGUACUAAAGAGCUUGGUAAUGCAAGAGCAGCACUGGCUGAAUUAUCUGACCUGGCUGGUUCUCAGGGAAAUGCUGAAGUGAUUCCUGUACUACAAGGUCACAGAAAGCUUCCAAGGGUGUUUCCUACAGAUGAGGCAAUGACUGCAGCAGGAUUGCAAAUCAAGCAAGUUGGUGGACUGUGCCUAGAAGCUGAGGAGCUAAAGCCAGUGGUGGAAGAUUCAGACAGGGAUACAAACAACCCACUGCACUCUACCAAGGAGGAAGCAAAACAAGGAAUUUCCAGGAUGACCAACAGGCAGGAGCUGGCAUCAGGUCAGGUAAGACAAAAGCCAACAGACCAUGCUAUGCUGUAAGAGGAAGAAUAUUUGCAGCACAUCUGGAAUCAGGAAGCACCAGGAAGCUCUUCAAAGAGUUUGUUCUUACUGUCUUUCGAUCUCCUCCUAAGCAAGCUUUUAUAGAACAACUGGUUUUUGUUAUUAGAGGCAUGAGAAGGGGCUGCUUGCUCAACAGGACACUGGGCUAGGACUGGUGAAACUGAAACUGAGUGGAAUUAUUGGUUUAUCUAUUGUCGUCUUGUGUGUCUUUUUUUGGAGAAGUCACUAAAUCUGGGGGAGACCACUUUGCUGCUUCAAAAGGGAUGGGAAUGAGAAUAUACAUUAGUAAUUGUGAAAUGCUUAGAUAUUACAGUGAUAGCAGUAGUGCAAGUAGAUGGAUAAAUAAGUGCCUGUAAAAAGAGUGCAAAUGACUAUGGUGGUUUUCUUUUAAGUCCACAGAAGAAAGGAGCUCUACCCUGUGGCAGAAGUGCCAGAAAUGCCAAGUUGCAUCAUGGCUGCUAUCACACAGGUCAGCAAUGAGGAUUUGAAGGGACUGUCUAGGGUUCCUUUGUCCAAGGAAAAUGAGAAAGUUUUGAAGAUGCCAGCAGAAUCUACCAGUUCUCUAAAAUGUAAAAAAGCCAAACGUAAGGCUAGACACAGGUCUAGGCCACAGCAGGCUGUGAAAGAAAGUCAUAUCUUAAAACAAAUGACUGAUUGGAAAGUACACACUCCAGAUUGGAAAGAGAGUUCAGGCUCCCUGGAUGCUGAGAAAUGUGUUCAACAGGACACAGAUAGUGACAGCGGUGACCCACACAUUAAAGUUACCAGUUUCUUGGCACCUGUUGAUAAUGAAUGCUUUCCAAAAGGGCUUGCAAAAGAGUAUUUGCUUGUUCCGCUAAAUACUCUCAAGAAAUAUUCUACUCAGAAUUUUGACCAGCAGGUAGAAAAUUAUUUUAAAAAGCUCUAAGGUCUCAAACAAACUUGCUUAAACCAAACGUGUAGAAAUGUAAAUCCUGAUUUGCAUGUGUAUGGGGUAUUGCAAAACAAACUUUAAUUUUACAGUAAAUUGGAUGUGGUUUGGACAACUUAAAGCAUGUCAAGUACCAGAUUUGCUUUUGAAUUGGAAAGCAGAUCUAAGAACACUUAAUUUGCCUUGAUUUUUUUGCAUUCGGAGGUUGGACACCAAACAGUACUGAUACCUCAUCAAGAAAAGGGGGAGAAAGAUGUUUCAGACCAGCUUGGUACAGCCAUACUCCUUUUGCAAGCUAAAGGAUGUACCAGGAAAAGACUUGUACCAAAAAAAAAAAAAAGAGAGAAA